rnacentral:pre_miRNA from 1 species
AAUAAAUCAACUUUUCAGUUUUUAGAUAUAAUGUUUGACUCUUCGUUUUAUUUAAAUUUUUUUUACAAUUAAUAUUUUUAUUUUUAUUACAUGAUAAAACAUGAAUAGUAUUUUAUGUGUGACUAAUUUUUUAAAAAUUUCUUAAAUUUUUUUCAAAUAAGACGGAUGGUCCAACGCUCGACACAAACCGAAAAG